UCUGCUGCCACAGCAACAUUGUUGCACGGAACCUUGUCUGUGCCUGAUUGAUCUGCAUACCAUACCCUUACCACUCUCUCCCCUGACAUGAACAAAUUUUGUCUUGAGGAGAGUGCACUAGGAGAAAGCAAAGGUGGGUUUGCUUUCACUAGCCUGCAGCCCAGGACUCCCCACUCGUGCAAGACCCUGGAGCAAAAGGCCCUUACCGACCUCGCUGGGCUGUGGUUGACAGAGUCACUUUCAGAGGAGCCAAUCCGGCGCGGGAGUUACUGGGAACUCCACAGCCCUUGGAAAUCACCAUUCCACUUUCUGCCUCUAUAAAUCGACUUCCUCUGGACCUCACGUCCUGCAACCUUGCUAGGAGAGGUACCUUGCCAAGACUUCGGGAGAGGAGCAUGUUCAUCUCUGAGGGUAGACAGAUGAUGAGCAGGAUCUCAAGGACAGGCCUUGUUGUUUCCCCGCUGGUCAUCCUUAGCUCACACUCUGUGGUCCCAUCAUAUUUUCCCAAGAUGUUCACUCUUGAUUAAACCUAGCU